GACGAACGCUGGCGGCGUGCUUAACACAUGCAAGUCGAACGGAAAGGCCCUGCUUUUGUGGGGUGCUCGAGUGGCGAGCGGGAGAGUAACACGUGAGUAACCUGACCUUGCCUUUGGGAUAACUUAAGGAAACUGGGGCUAAUACCGGAUAGGAGCUCCUGCUGCUUGGUGGGGGUUGGACAGUUUCGGCGGUUGUGGCUGGAUUCGCGGGUUUCCAGCUUGUUGGGGGGGUAGUGGCCUACCAAGGCUUUGACGGGUAGCCCGCCUGGGAGGGUGACCAGCCACAGUGGGACUGAGUUAGGGCGCAGACAGCAACGGGAGGCAGCAGAUGGGAAUAUGGCACAAUGGGCGGAAGCCUGAUGCGGAAGCGCCGCGUGCGGGAUGACGGCCUUCGUGUUGGAAACGGCUGUCGCCUGUGACUAAGCGGGAUUGACGGUAAUGGGUUAAGAAGCACCGGCUAACUACGUG
rnacentral:rRNA from 1 species